UCCGAGUUGACCCCGGCAGUCUCCCAUGAGCCCCCGGCAUUACCCGCUGGCAACAUGGAACGAGGGUUGCGCUCGUUGCGGGACUUAACCCAACAUCUCACGACACGAGCUGACGACAACCAUGCACCACCUGUGCACGACCCUUACGGACCCCCCAUCUCUGGAAGAUUUUCGUGCAUGUCAAGCCUAGGUAAGGUUCUUCGCGUUGCAUCGAAUUAAGCAACAUGCUCCGCCGCUUGUGCGGGCCCCCGUCAAUUCCUUUGAGUUUUAGCCUUGCGGCCGUACUCCCCAGGCGGGGCGCUUAAUGCGUUAGCUGCGGCGCAGAAGACCGGAGAGGUCCCCCACACCUAGCGCCCAACGUUUACAGCGUGGACUAC
rnacentral:misc_RNA from 1 species